UACGGAGGGUGCAAACGUUGCUCGGAAUCAUUGGGCGUAAAGCGCACGUAGGCGGCUCAGUAAGUCGGGUGUGAAAGCCCUCGGCUCAACCGAGGAAGUGCAUUCGAAACUACUGAGCUUGAAUACUGGAGAGGAUCGCGGAAUUCCCGGUGUAGAGGUGAAAUUCGUAGAUAUCGGGAGGAACACCAGUGGCGAAGGCGACUUACUGGACACAUAUUGACGCUGAGGUGCGAAAGCGUGGGGAGCAAACAGG
rnacentral:rRNA from 1 species